UCCUGCGCCAGGGCACCCGCGGGAGCCCCCGGCACCGCAAGGAGCAGCGGAGAGCCGUGCGAGGAUGUUCUGAAAGGGGGCUCAGUGAUGGCCUUGAUGCAGUCCCAGGAUGUAACAGGAGCUCUCCGCUGAGUCUUCCCA